GCCGGUUGGACGACCUAAGACCGUGAAGUACGAGGAUUGGGACGAUAAAGACGACCCACUACGGCUCCCCACUUGGGCUUACAAGUGGGAUGUGUUAAAUGAGACGACGGAUGAUCCCUCUGUAAUGUACAAGUUGUACAAGAGCGAGCUGGACGCGAUCACGCCUGAGCAGGUGGAAUGGGAGCCGUAUGGAAAAGGAGAGAGUUUUGGUAACCCUAUAGAGUUCAGGCUUAGUCCGAUGUGCAUUAGGGAUAGGGAUCUCUGGCAUAUGCGGUGCCCACUGAUAUGCAACUGGGCGGUUGAGCUUCACCUGCCACAUCGGGUUUUCCGCCAGUUUGGUUUGUUCCAGCCACACCCGCCGGAGUGGGAGGACACGGACAAGUUGCUACACGCGUAAGAUAUAAUUAACCUUGAGCACUUAGCAGCUUCUCGACGGUUUCGAUGAUGCUAAUAUCUUGUUUCUAACUUGCAGGUUGGAUAGGAAAAAGCAGCGGAAGAUUAAGGAUUGGGCCAGCCAUCACAGGAAGUAUGUCGUGCAGUUCGCUCUUAGUGUGGAGCAAGCAAGGGCUGGAAAACAAGCCCAACUUCGUGAGCACUGCCCGAUCGCGUCAACAACUAUCUCGCAUGGUUUCUUGCAAGUACCCGCGUGGAGGUAUGCCAGCCGGCGUAUGCUGAGGAGAUUCUGGAAGAACCCACCGUUUUUGAUGAGGUAGCCCAGCACCAGUACAACGCAUUAGUCAGGAAAGGCAACUCGGUGAUCCCUUCAGCUCCAAUGAUGAACUUUGUGCGUGCCCAGAUCAAGAAAGCAGCUGACGAGACCGAGACUAUUCUGGAAACAAC